rnacentral:rRNA from 1 species
AGUGAACGCUGGCGGUAGGCCUAACACAUGCAAGUCGAACGGCAGCACAGUAAGCUCUUGCUCUUACGGGUGGCGGGUGGCGGACGGGUAAGGCAUGCAUCGGAAUCUACUUUUUCGGGGGGGAUAACGUAGGGAAACUUACGCUACUACCGCAUACGACCUACGGCUGAAAGCAGGGGAUCUUCAGACCUUGCGCGAUUGAAUGAGCCGAUGUCGGAUUAGCUAGUUGGCGGGGUAAAGGCCCACCAAGGCGACGAUCCGUAGCUGGUCUGAGAGGAUGAUCAGCCACACUGGAACUGAGACACGGUCCAGACUCCUACGGGAGGCAGCAGUGGGGAAUAUUGGACAAUGGGCGAAAGCCUGAUCCAGCCAUACCGCGUGAGUGAAGAAGGCCUUCGGGUUGUAAAGCCCUGUUGUUGGGAAAGAAAAGCAGCAUGUGAAAACACCGCUGUUCUGACGGUACCCAAAGAAUAAGCACCAGCUAACUUCGUG